GCGGGUAUGGUGAAACUGGUAGACACAAGAGACUUAAAAUCUCUCGGCCGUAUGGCCAUGCCGGUUCGAGUCCGGCUACCCGCACCA
rnacentral:tRNA from 5 species